ensembl:lncRNA
AUGAACGGAACUGUCAUUGCCUCCCCUCCUGAGUGCAAACAGCUGAUCAUUGUUUACCACACAAUCACUCUCAACUACAAUUGUUUCCCUCAUUUUCUUUCCAAUUUCCUCUGCUUUCUUUAUCCUUGGCAUUUAUCAAAAACAUGUCUUCGGAGGGACGAGGGCCAGAAGAAGAGACAAAGAAGGAGAAGGAGGUGGAACAAGAUGCGAAGGAAGGAAGGAAGGAAGGGAAGGAGGAAAGGAGGAAGGAGGGAGAGAGAUCUGAAGCCAAAACAGAUGAGCUACAGGAGUGUUUCCGGAGAACAACGAAUCCAAUUUAGUGUAGAAAGUUAUGGAAAUGCCAAGACCCUGAAUGAAGCUGGAAGUUUAUUCUUCCCAAAACCUUCCGAGAAAAGCCCUGAUGACAAAUACUUUGAUUUCAAAAAAUGCUCCUUAUUUGUGAAAUAUGCAGCAGAGAAACCAGCAAGCCAAUUUGCACUUCUAUCUACCAAAUGGUGAGAUAAUAAAUUUGUAUUAUUUGAAGCA